rnacentral:lncRNA from 1 species
AUGCAGAGAUGGUUGUCCUCAAAAAAUCUUCAGAGCUGAAAAUAGCAUAAUUUAGUGGAGUAUCCAUUACGACCCAGACCCAUCACUCGAGCUAGGCGUGUGACAUGGCCGCAUAUUUUAUAGGACAUGACUCCAUGGAAUAUGUAAGGCCUUGAAACCUAUACAAAAACUCAAAUAACCAAAAUUCCAUCAUUAACAGAUAAGCACAUAUAAUCUAGCGUUGAUGGUCCAAAAAUUUCAGAAAAUAUCUAAUAUAAUCUACAGGAUUCCUUCUCUCUCCAGCAACC